rnacentral:rRNA from 1 species
GAGUGGAUUAGUGGCGAACGGGUGAGUAACACGUGAGUAACCUGCCCUUGACUCUGGGAUAAGCCUUGGAAACGAGGUCUAAUACCGGAUAGGAGCACUCAUCGCAUGGUGGGUGUUGGAAAGAAUUUCGGUCAUGGAUGGACUCGCGGCCUAUCAGCUUGUUGGUGAGGUAAUGGCUCACCAAGGCGACGACGGGUAGCCGGCCUGAGAGGGUGACCGGCCACACUGGGACUGAGACACGGCCCAGACUCCUACGGGAGGCAGCAGUGGGGAAUAUUGCACAAUGGGCGAAAGCCUGAUGCAGCGACGCCGCGUGAGGGAUGACGGCCUUCGGGUUGUAAACCUCUUUCAGUAGGGAAGAAGCGAAAGUGACGGUACCUGCAGAAGAAGCACCGGCUAACUACGUGCCAGCAGCCGCGGUAAUACGUAGGGUGCGAGCGUUAUCCGGAAUUAUUGGGCGUAAAGAGCUCGUAGGCGGUUUGUCGCGUCUGCCGUGAAAGUCCGGGGCUUAACUCCGGAUCUGCGGUGGGUACGGGCAGACUAGAGUGCAGUAGGGGAGACUGGAAUUCCUGGUGUAGCGGUGGAAUGCGCAGAUAUCAGGAGGAACACCGAUGGCGAAGGCAGGUCUCUGGGCUGUAACUGACGCUGAGGAGCGAAAGCAUGGGGAGCGAACAGGAUUAGAUACCCUGGUAGUCCAUGCCGUAAACGUUGG